UGGGGAAUAUUGGGCAAUGGGCGCAAGCCUGACCCAGCAAUGCCGCGUGUGUGAAGAAGGCCUGCGGGUUGUAAAGCACUUUGAGCGGGGAAGAAGGGCUGGCGGCCAAUAACCGUCGGCCUUGACGUUACCCGCAGAACAAGCACCGGCUAACUCCGUGCCAGCAGCCGCGGUAAUACGGAGGGUGCGAGCGUUAAUCGGAAUUACUGGGCGUAAAGCGUGCGUAGGCGGCCCGGUCAGUCUCGCGUGAAAGCCCUGGGCUCAACCUGGGAACUGCGCGGGAUACUGCCGGGCUGGAGUGCGGGAGAGGGCGGUGGAAUUUCCGGUGUAGCAGUGAAAUGCGUAGAGAUCGGAAGGAACACCAGUGGCGAAGGCGGCCGCCUGGACCGACACUGACGCUGAGGCACGAAAGCGUGGGGAGCAAACA
rnacentral:rRNA from 1 species